AGAUUGAACGCUGGCGGCAUGCCUUACACAUGCAAGUCGAACGGCAGCACGGGGGCAACCCUGGUGGCGAGUGGCGAACGGGUGAGUAAUAUAUCGGAACGUGCCCUGGAGUGGGGGAUAACUAGUCGAAAGAUUAGCUAAUACCGCAUACGAUCUACGGAUGAAAGUGGGGGAUCGCAAGACCUCAUGCUCCUGGAGCGGCCGAUAUCUGAUUAGCUAGUUGGUGGGGUAAAGGCCUACCAAGGCUACGAUCAGUAGCUGGUCUGAGAGGACGACCAGCCACACUGGAACUGAGACACGGUCCAGACUCCUACGGGAGGCAGCAGUGGGGAAUUUUGGACAAUGGGCGCAAGCCUGAUCCAGCAAUGCCGCGUGAGUGAAGAAGCCGUGGUGUUAAGCUCUUUGUCAGGAAGAAACGGUUAGGUACGUAAGUACCUACGGUCUAAUAGACGUACUCGAAG
rnacentral:rRNA from 1 species